AGUGAACGCUGGCGGUAGGCCUAGCACAUGCAAGUCGAACGGCAGCACAGUAAGAGCUUGCUCUUACGGGUGGCGAGUGGCGGACGGGUGAGGAAUACAUCGGAAUCUACUUUUUCGUGGGGGAUAACGUAGGGAAACUUACGCUAAUACCGCAUACGACCUACGGGUGAAAGCAGGGGAUCUUCGGACCUUGCGCGAUUGAAUGAGCCGAUGUCGGAUUAGCUAGUUGGCGGGGUAAAGGCCCACCAAGGCGACGAUCCGUAGCUGGUCUGAGAGGAUGAUCAGCCACACUGGAACUGAGACACGGUCCAGACUCCUACGGGAGGCAGCAGUGGGGAAUAUUGGACAAUGGGCGCAAGCCUGAUCCAGCCAUACCGCGUGGGUGAAGAAGGCCUUCGGGUUGUAAAGCCCUUUUGUUGGGAAAGAAAAGCAGCAGGUUAAUACCCCGCUGCUCUGACGGUACCCAAAGAAUAAGCACCGGCUAACUUCGU
rnacentral:rRNA from 1 species